AACGCACCUUGCACUUGGGGAGUCCAUUCCCAAGUAUACCUGUUUGAGUAUCAUGUACAUUUUUCCGAGAUAUUGGGAGUUGAGACUUAGGUGUAGAGUGGAUUGCAUUCGCAGAAUGGAUUGAUUCUGGACGCCUAUUUCUUUAAAUGCAGUGGGGACCAAGGACGAGCGUGCUUGUUCUUUCAUGAGGAUGUUUGCCGCUUGGCGAAUCAAUCAUUAGGGAAUGAGAGGCGCAAGUCUGCAAUGUAGUGAGAGCAGUGUGUAGUGUAGAGUGUAGAGUGAGAGCAGCAAAGCUCAAGCUCCAGCUCAAGCUCAAGCUCGACUCCUAUAUGGUGGACCCUUAACUUGCACUGUGUUGUGUUGUGUCGGAUCUCACGAUCCUACACAAUGCAAUUCAAACGCAAAUGCACCCUUGUGAUCUCAAAUCAGGCAAGACGACCCGCUGAACUUAA
rnacentral:misc_RNA from 1 species